CCUACGGGUGGCAGCAGUAGGGAAUAUUGCUCAAUGGGGGAAACCCUGAAGCAGCAACGCCGCGUGGAGGAUGAAGGUUUUCGGAUUGUAAACUCCUUUUGUUAGAGAAGAUAAUGACGGUAUCUAACGAAUAAGCACCGGCUAACUCCGUGCCAGCAGCAGCGGUAAUACGGCGGGUGCAACGGUUACUCGGAAGCACUGGUGGUAAAGGGGGUGUAGGCGGGAUAGCAGGUCGGAUGUGAAGUCCUAUGGCUUAACCAUAGAACUGCAUUUGAAACUGUUAUUCUAGAGUAUGGGAGAGGAAGGUGGAAUUCUUGGUGUAGCGGUAAAAUCCGUAGAGAUCAAGAGGAAUAGUAAUGGCGAAGGCGACCUGCUAGAACAUAACUGACGCUGAUGCGCGAAAGCGUGGGGAGCAAACAGGAUUAGAUACCCGAGUAGUC
rnacentral:rRNA from 1 species